GGGAAUCUGAUGGCGAAGCAGCGAGGGCUCUUUGCUCAUCGGAGGCAAGUGGGAGAGCGCUGCCUUCUCGGCGCUUCACCUUCUGCUCCUGAUGCCUGAUCCAAUGCAGAAUAACUCAGCUCUCAAACUGGUACGAAGAGUGGCUAUUUUUUAGCAGAUCCCUCAGGACUGAGGCUCCUCAUCUGUAGGCCAAGGCAGCGCACCUUAGCGAUAAAACAACCUGGCGGUGGAAGAGCGGUUUCCUGGCCACUCGUGUGUUGAGCAGGGGCAGCUUUAAUGAGCUUCAGGCUGAUUAAGGCUCCUGCUGCGUGUGCAGUCUCCCGCAGCCAGCCCGGGGUCGCCUCUCCCUCCUGCUCCGUCUGGGGGGAGCGCGAAGGCAUCGUGCCUUUGGCCACCGGCGCGUUGGGAUCGAGUGAGCCAUGGAAAAGAUCCCGGAGCAGAGAGCGUCCCCUGAGCCUUGGCUGAACCCCGCGGCCCUCUGCAGGGGGUACAUCCAGCUUACUGCUAUGGACAGUGCUAUCACCCUGUGGCAGUUCCUCCUCCAACUCCUCCAAGAGCCUCAGAACAAGAAUAUCAUCUGUUGGACCUCCAACGACGGGGAGUUCAAACUGCUGCAGGCAGAGGAGGUGGCCAGACUCUGGGGAAUCCGCAAGAACAAGCCCAGUAUGAACUACGAUAAACUCAGCCGUGCUCUCAGAUACUAUUAUGUGAAGAAUAUCAUUAAAAAAGUGAAUGGUAAGAAGUUUGUGUACAAGUUUGUUUCUUAUCCGGAGAUUUUAAAUAUGGAUCCACUUGUCGUGGGCCGUAUAGAAGGAGACCCUGAAGUGACUGGUUUUGCAGAAGUUAGCAGUGCUCCAAAGGACGUGGAAAACUGUGGGAAGGAGAAGUCUCAGACGUGUGCUAAAUCCUCCAGCCGCAAUGACUAUAUCCACUCAGGCUUGUACUCCUCUUUUACUCUGAACUCCCUGAACUCUUCCAGCGUAAAACUCUUCAGGUCCAUCAAGAUUGAGAAUCCAGCUGAGAAGCUGUCAGAGAAGAAACCUGCUCAGGAUCCAACACCCUCUGUCAUCAAAUUUGUCACCAUGCCCUCCAAAAAGCCUCCAUCUGUCCCCCUGGUCUCUACCACUUCGACAGUCCCUGCCACUUCCACUGCUUCUGCCACUUCAACCGCAUCCUCUCUUCCCCUGGGAUCAGAAGAAACUCUCCAGACCUUGGAGACGCUUGUUCUACCCAAGUUAACUGUCCCUGAAGCUCCAGCACCUUUGCCAAACUUAACCACCAGCUUCACCCCAACUCCACCCAUAUCCUCAGUUUCUCCCACUCUGCAAGUUCCUUCCACACCCCCGUCGCCGCCCCUGAGCUCUAAUCCUGACCUGGACAUUGACACGGACAUAGAGUCCGUGACUUCUCAGCAGCUGGAGCAGGCUCAGAGCCUUCAGCACCAAUCCCCAGAGCCCAAAGAGCAGGAUUCAUCUGUGCUGGAGAAGGAAUUUGCCAAUCACCUCUCCAGAUCUAAAAAACCCAAAGGGCUGGAGUUGGCUCCUACCCUCGUCAUUACAGGCAGCGAUCCAAGUCCGCUGGGGAUUCUGAGUCCUUCUCUCCCAACUGCUUCUCUUACUCCAGCACUUUUCUCUCAGACUCCCAUCUUGCUGACCCCGAGUCCCUUGCUCUCCAGUAUUCACUUCUGGAGUACGCUAAGCCCAGUUGCUCCUCUCAGUCCUGCAAGGUUGCAAGGUGCUAACACACUCUUUCAGUUUCCAUCAGUGCUGAACAGUCAUGGCCCAUUUACUCUGUCUGGACUGGAUGGACCCUCUACCCCUGGCCCGUUUUCUCCCGAUCUACAGAAGACAUAGCACAUGAACUCACGGGAAGGACGUAUUGGCAAAGCAAGGGAAAGAUAUGACACUUAUAUUUAACCAUGUUUUUUAAAUGAGCAAUUUAUAAUUCCACAGAGAUUAUCAACAAUCAUAGUUUUUGCCAUUCCCAAAUAAAAUGCCUUUUUUGCAGAAUUCCCUUUUUUGAAGACCCAGGUUGGGAAUGUAUAUGCAAACGCCUUAAUAGGAGCUGAAGCUCCAGUCUCUCCUCUUCCCUCCUUGGUCUGGAAGACUUCACUAUGGUUAAAGGGAGUUUCAGUUGGUGUUGCAGUAACUGAGUCUGCACUGAUUGCAGUAAACCCUAUCAGAGAAGUCUUUUCUCUGUGACUCUUGGAAAAACCCCUCUGUUCUUCUGCUUCCUGUGCUUGGCAAGAAGAAAUCUAAUCAUGAAAGAAGCUGGCAUUCCAGGAAAUGCUUUUGGAAAGGGGUGUGUGCACUCAGCUUUGCCUUGGGGCCUGAUAACUUCUGCAGCAACAAAACAGCCCGCGUCUUUUCUGCUGUAAAAACAUCUUGUCUUUUUGCAGGGAGAAAUUUUUUCAAGGAAUAUUCAAAUGUUUGCGUUCCUGAGAUACGGACAAUUUUUGAAUGGCGUCGCCUACCGACAGUCCAGCCCCUCGGAGAAGUGACCUGGUUAGCUUCUGGGUGCUUCCCCGCCCUCCCUUGGCUGAGGAGGCGAGGUCUGGAGACAGAUGAAUGGUGGGAUUGGUUCCUUUCAGUUCUCAGAAAGUUUGAAUGCUCAAGUCCAAACAUUUCUUGUGCCAGAGACCUGUUACGAAGCCUGUAAUCUCACUUGCUAGAAGAUUGGCAGGGUGGUGGAUGUUACACGCGGUUUUGAGGGUGUGUCUGUAUUCGGCGAGGUUGCUGCCCGAUGCUGGAGUUUCAGACCCAGACAGUGGGUGAGAACACUAACGUCCAAGCACUAGCGUUACUGCUCUUUGCCCACAGUUGAAGGGGAGUAGCAUCUCUCCUACCAGCUCUUAUCUCAAGUUUUGCAUUAGAUCUAUUGCUUUUUUUAAUUUGAGGAAGCACUCAGAUCCAAACUAAGUAAGGCUCGGUGUGUACAGCUACCUGAGAGGGGUACCACAGCCUAUCAACCUUCUUGUAAAUUUGUGCUUUGCAUUCCUUUUCUUGGUGGCUGUGUGUGCACAGGUUAAUACGAGAUUAGGUUCCAGAGCCAGCUGAAACACUGAUGAAAGGAAAUUUGGAGUUAGGAUUUUUACAAUUCAGGGGGCCUUUAAAGAGAACUGAGGAAUGAAAGAAGAGAGACUUUCCUCUCACGGCCCCUCAGAGGCUGGGUGGCUCUCGUGGUCUGUGGGUGCUGGGCCCUGUGCCCCCCCACUUGGGGCAUCUGGUGUCAGGCAGCAACUUCUCUUUGCUACUGUGUACAUUGAGUUGGUGAAUUAAGAUAAUCUUCUCUGUAAAAUACCCAUUAGAAAAGAGAUGGAGACCCUCUCUCUGCUUUGGCAACCUCACUGGCUGUCUUCAAAGUUUUAAUGAGCAGAGGAAGAUUGUACCUUUACAGCAAGAGGAGCUGACAGUGUACGCUGUAUAUAUUGCACCUGUUUUAUGGAUAAGUGGUGAACUCGAGCUCUCCCGAGUUUUCCUUUUGCCACUUUUGCAGACUCUGAAUUCACUUUAAAGCGUGUGACAAUACCCAAGACUUAAUUUACUGCAGUGAUGUUAUCUUUCUAUAUUCUAGCAUUGAAAUAUGUAAACCACUUAGUAUGUUCCUGACAUGACAUCCGAGACGGGGUGGGGGGGGUGUAUGUAACGGAGUUGCUUUUUUGGGCAUUGUUUAUCCAGAAAGUCCUCUGCCCGGUGGGAGGUGGGAGAAAAGAUUAUGCCUUCUUCUGGUGGAGGUAGCAGGGAGCGAGCUCCUGUAGUGAACUGCCUUCCUGUUUGGUCACAUUGGAGGCAUAACACUGCUUCGCAUUUUAGACAUCAGCAGAUGCAGGGUAAAGUUCCUGUGCCAGCAGCUCUUAAAAUGACAAUGUGCAAUAUUGACCUUUUUUUUUUUUUUUUUAAAUGCAGAAAGCAAGCUGCAGAUCAUAAUUAAGAGCAGGCAUCUGGAAUUUUCUGGUUUGCAUGAUGGCUUAUUAGUCUGGUCUAGAAAAUAUAUAUAUAGCUAUAUAUAAAUAGCAGCACUUUUAAUGGUUGUUUUAGGUUGGCCAAUUUUAUGCCCACCAAGUGUGUGGACUUGAGAGCAACAUUGCAGACUAGGAUUAGAGUUUAAAAAUAAUUAAUGAGCACUAAAGACUUGCAAUUUAAUUGCUUCCCUUUCCUUGUCCCCUAUGGAGAAAAGCCAAGUUGUAUUUGUUUAAAAGUUGUGUAUGUGCACACAUGCACUUAAUUAUUUGUAUACUUUUUCACUUUCAGCAUAGGUAUGCAAGAGAACCAAACGCUGACGUCGCUUGUCGGUUGUGCUUGGCCUUGGUUUCACGCUCUUCUCCGAGUAGUUUUGGGAGAUUGCGGUGCCAGAGCUGGUUGAUGAGAUACGCGCUCGCCUUCGGGAAUAGCUUCUUCCCAGAGAGUUAGCAUGGAAAAGCAGCCCGUGUGUGAUGGUUUCGAGCUGGUAAUAGCCAACUUCCCGACAGACAGCACUGAGGAGAUGAUUGCUUUUGCUUCUUAAGCACCUGCCUAGGAAAAUAGAAGUCCCAUAUAGGAUGAUAAUCUCAGGAGGCAGUUAGGAAAGCAAGUGGGGAGGGGAGGGGAGGUGGGAGAGGAGCAGCCUGCUCGCCUUUUCUCCAUUAACAGCUUUCAGGCCACUUAAGGUAACGUUAUCUUGUAUAUAUGCUGCUUCAUUAAACACACAUCUACUAACAAGUGUAGAACUGCCAGCUUUUUUGGAUCACAUUCCUGACAGAGCACGGUGUCGCUGUGACUUCUUGGAGCUUGGUUCUGUGAAUUGCUGAUACUCUUACUGGCUCACUUCAGGAGCAGUUUGCAGCUCGUUGCAACUUGUUUUUAAUUUAGUGUAGGGAAAGUGGGGGUUAAUAUAGGCUCACUUUUAAUUAUCAUGGUAGCAGUCUGUAAAAUGGGUAUAGUACCGUGUCGGUUUAAAAAAAAAUUAUAACGCAGCAUUACAGAAACAUUUUAUUACGUUACAGUUGGUGUUGCUGAAGUAGCCAUGGUAUUGUUGAAUGCUUGAUAAUAUUUGCAUCGGUUAAUUCGUAGAUGGUGGUAGGAUUAGACUGGGUGAGCAUGGAAGCUGAACAUCUGUCUUGCUUCUGGAAAUCUCUUACGUGUCACUGCUGCUGCGUACUCUGUGCUGCAGAGUUAGACACCUCGCGCUGCUGGGGCCGCGUGUGCUAUGUCUGGCUUUUUUUUUUUGGAGAUCCUGAGCUGUCAGGAUGCCACUAGCAACACGUGCUGCUAGCAGAAACGGUCCGUGGAAAGCAGAAAUGUGUUAAUAAUACCCUCCGGUUCUAGAACCAUACUUGUUCUGUCUUACCUGUUUUCAGAGAAUGUGAUCCUCAUCCUGAGGGUGGUGGAGGAAAGUUGUUUUGGGUUUUGGGUUUGGUGUUGUGUUUUGUUUUUUUUUUUUCCUUAGCAGCAGCUUAAGAUCUUUGUUUCAGAAAUCGGUCUUCAGCAGUGGUGGCUGAAUGUAAUUCCUAUGCACUGUCUUUGGCACAUUUGAGUUGCAUUUUGCAAUAGGUCAGGAAGUAAUAAAAUUCCUCGAAUUUGAGAAUUCAUUGUUUUAACUUCGAGCAUCCUAAGACUUCAGUAUCCAUGUACUUCGGUAUAGUGGAGCAUGCUUUAUAAUAUGAAAGGCUUUGAUUGUUCAGUGAUUUGUUUGGGAUCAUUUCUCCCUCCGAUAUGUUUUCAAACCUCAGAUAUCUAGCAAGUAGAUUUUUCUUGGUUUUUUUUUUAUAGCGUUCAUCUUGCCCUCUAGACGGCUCUUUGAGAUGCAUGAGUGUCAGAUUCCCUCACGCCGGCAGGUUGGGCAGGGCGAGCCUCGCUCCUUGCUGUGGUUUCUCAGGGCAGCGCAGGCUCAGAGCUGUGAUCCCCUUCUGUAGCGUUUGUCUAGUGCUGAGCUCAGAACCCACCGUUCUGACAGCCCGGGGUUUGUCCGCCCGUCUUUUAGUUACCUUUUGCUACCGUUUUAUAGCGGUUUUGUAUGUACUCAUGUUUUACUCUACGAUUUAACCUCUUCCAUUUUGAAUGCAUCCUUGUUUACAAGACACAUCUCAGUGUUGUAUCAAGAGGCUAUCUUGGUAUUGUCGGCUAUGAAAAUCAACUACAUCAGUAGUUAAGGAACAUUGUCAAAGGUGACAGGUAUUUUAAAACUCGAUGUUUGAGUUUUGGGCGUCCAUAAUAAUUUUGUUCUGUUUCGUUCUUUAGUCCUCCUGUGUAAGAAAUAACAUUGUACCCUCUGGCCUCUGAGGUCGUGGGUACGGACCGUUUAUUUUUUUUCUCAAUAAUCACAGAGCGUGGCGUUGCAAACAAACAGCCCCACAGGAUCUUAGACUCGGCAGAUAAGUUGAAAAUCAUUAGAAUCGCGAUCAUGUUGCUUCGGAGCUAUUUUUAAUGAGGUAUAGUAUGUCUUGCCUAAACAGGAAUUUUUAUGGUUUGAUUUGUAUUUAAUUAAACAGUAAUUGGCAAUGGCUGCCGUUUUGUCUGAACAGUAUUAGCAAAUCUGCUUAAUGUGGCGGUCUUUAGCUAUUGCCAUCGAGUUGAGUGGUGGUUAAUAUGUGACCUGCUAAAGUUGAUCUGCUGAAAUCAGAAGCCGCCAGAUGAAGAUUAAAAGAUAAAAUGCAGUGCCAGUUGUUUUAACACCGUCCUUGAGGACUAUUACUGCAAAGGCUUUGUCUUGGACCGACCUCUGUGGACACGGCACUCAGCUCGUGUAUGGACUGUGUAGGAGCCCUUUGUAAAAGCUGCUUCUGGACAGAGAAUAAUUUUUGAAAGGAGAACUAAAUCUUUUCUCCAUAGCCUGCUUUUAGUCAUCAGGAUGUAAUGUAGGAGCUACAAAGCCGCAGUAAUGGCAGUGCUGCCCUAUUUCUUCAAUCUGUGUUUAUCAUCAACAGAGCUUCUGUUGAGAUUUCCUGGCUGUCUUGGUGCCAUCUAAAGCAGAAAGGCUAAGCUUUGGUUUGGGGUGGCUAGUGGAUCUCAAACUGAGGGAUAUUAUUCUUGCCUUUGUACAAAAAGCAAACAAAAAUAAGGGGAGAAUAUGUUCACUGCAGAACGUUGAUUCUUUUUGGAGGAUGCAGCUUUGCCGACUGUAACCAUUGCUUUGCAAAAAAACAAAAAAAAAGUGACCUGCAAGGACAGCUGGAAUUAAUCUGGGACUGAACCGACUCUGAGCAGGGAUCCUUAACCAGCAGGAGACUUUGUCUUGGGAAUGCUGAGAAUCUCCGAGCCAGCCGCUGGGAAUCGCACGCCAGAGGCUUGUAAAUCAGAGCAGAUCUGUUGGCUUCGCUGCAACUGGUCCGACUUACACCGGCUGAGAACCUGGUCUUUGCAGCUUCUCCUCUGUGGCUUAGAUAAGAGUCAGGGGAGGGAAGCUUGACUUAAAUUUUAGAGAACUUAAGCAACCUAAUCAGCUGUGGUAACGUGUGACAGUUGUUCUGUUUAUUUUUAAAGUGCACAUCUGUUUUGGAAAGUGACUUUCUGACGCCUUUAGUGUUUACUCCUCAAUGGAAUUUUUAGGUUAACCUGUUUUUGGUUUUUUUUUGCACAUCAGCAGGAUGAUGUCUGCAGUGGGUUUUUUUUAUGCUCCAGCAGCCCUGGCAUCUCUGCUUGGGGCAGGCUGAGCAGACAUUGUGUCAGUUAACUUUUUAUCACUGGAAUGGAUUCCAUUUUACUUACCUGUAAUUUUAGAAGAACCAUCAGUGGUAAGAAUUGCAUUGAAAGCAGCAGAGAGAACAUUUUCAGCUAUUCUUUCCAGAACAGAAUUGCAUUUUUUUAAUAUAUAUAUGUGUAUAUAUAUAGCACAAAGUCAAGAGACAAAGCAAGUUAUGUUGUAGUGAGUGUCUUAACUUCCUACACUGGAGACUUUUUCUAGACAUGGUCUUUUAGAGACAACUGUAAUCUUACACCGCUUUGGUGCUCUCAUUACAGUUGGGUAAACUUGCCUGGGAGAGAAUAGCUUCUCAGUCUAACUUUUUGAAAGUAAUACCUUAUAAUAAGAGUAUCUUAAUGCCAUUGUGUUUAAAAAAAAAAAAAAUGCUGGUAUGUAAUGCAAGUACAUAAAUAGCCAAAGUUUUCAGUAAUUGUUCAGUGUUACUAAAUUUGCUUUUAUUUAACCUUCCAAGGUAACAUAUUAGGAAGACCUUCAGCGUGUUGAUUACAUAUUGGGGGGGGGGGGAAAAAAAAAAAAAGUCUUGAUCAACUUGAUUAUAGCAGAUAUGCAGUUAUUUGAACACAUUUCAGGUUUGAAUACAAUUUGGAGGCAAAGUUCGAAGAGGCAAAACUUACUUUGGAGGAAGUGCACUGUAAUGACACUUCGGAGUAACAAAAGCUGCUUUUACAGAGCGGCGUAUUGGCAGUUGUUAUUCAAACGUAAUGAAGGUCUUUCCUGAGAAAAAUCAGGUGACUUUUUCUAUUGCUUCAAUUUUUGUGCAAAAAAAAAAAAAAUAAUCAAUGUAUUGCAAUCUUUUUUAAAAAUGGGGUGGGAAUAGUUAAAGAAAACUAUUUUAUGUAAGAACUGACAGAGGGAUUUGCUUUGUAUAAUGCAAGCUGGCUUUAAAAAAGCAUUGUAGCAAAUUAUUCAAGUCAAUCAUAUGUUAAUAGUUAUGUGCAACCAGACAUGCAAAACAAUUGUAUUUUUUUAAAUAAAUAUUUUUAACAAA